UCAGUCGGCCGGGCGGCCGCUCCCGCCUUGCGCGGGGGAGGAAAGUCCGGGCUCCAUGGAGAGACGGUGCCGGAUAACGUCCGGCGGGGGCGACCCCAGGGAAAGCGCCACAGAAAGCAGACCGCCACGCAAGUGGUAAGGGUGAAAGGGUGCGGUAAGAGCGCACCGCGGACGCGGCGACGCGGACGGCACGGCAAGCCCCACCGGGAGCAAAACCGAAUAGGGACGGCGCGAACCGGGCGAAAGCGCGGGACAGGGCUUCUCCAGCCCGCCGUCCGGGUUGGUUGCAUGAGGCGAUCGGCGACGAUCGUCCCAGAUGAAUGGCCGCCACGUUCGGAUCGUUCGCGGUCCGGGCCAUACAGAACCCGGCUUACAGGCCGACUGACGCC
rnacentral:RNase_P_RNA from 1 species